rnacentral:rRNA from 1 species
UGAGGUUGAUCAGGGCUCACGACGAACGCUGGCGGCGUGCCUAAUACAUGCGAGUCGAGCGAGCGGAACUAACAGAUUUACUUCGGUUAUGACAUUCGGAAAGCGAGCGGGGGAUGGGUGAGUAACACGUGGGGAACCUGCCCCAUAGUCUGGGAUACCACUUGGAAACAGGUGCUAAUACCGGAUAAGAAAGCAGAUCGACUGAUCAGCUUUUAAAAGGCGGCGUAAGCUGUCGCUAUGGGAUGGCCCCGCUCUGCAUUAGCUAGUUGGUAAGGUAAAGGCUUACCAAGGCGAUGAUGCAUAGCCGAGUUGAGAGACUGAUCGGCCACAUUGGGACUGAGACACGGCCCAAACUCCUACGGGAGGCAGCCCAAGGGAAUCUUCCACAAUGGACGCAAGUCUGAUGGAGCAACGCCGCGUGAGUGAAGAAGGUUUUCGGAUCGUAAAGAUCUGUUGUUGGUGAAGAAGGAUAGAGGUAGUAACUGGCCUUUAUUUGACGGUAAUCAACCAGAAAGUCACGGCUAACUACGUGCCGGCAGCCGCGGUAAUACGAAGGUGGCAAGCGUUGUCCGGAUUUGUUGGGCGUAAAGCGAGCGCAGGCGGAAGAAUAAGUCUGAUGUGAAAGCCCUCGGCUUAACCGAGGAACUGCAUCCUAAACUGUUUUUCUUGAGAGCCCAACAGGAGAGUGGAACUCCAUGUGUAGCGGUGGAAUGCCUAGAUAUAUGGAAGAACACCACUGCCGAAGGCGGCUCUCUGGUCUGCCACUGACGCUGAGGCUCGAAAGCAUGGGUAGUGAACAGGAUUAGAUACCCUGGUAGUCCAUGCCGUACACGAUGAGUGCUAA